rnacentral:misc_RNA from 1 species
UACGGAGGAUCCAAGCGUUUUCCGGACUCAUUGGGUUUAAAGGGUCCGUAGGCGGGUUAAUAAGUCAGUGGUGUAAGUCUGCGGCUCAACUGUAGAAUUGACAUUGAUACUGUUGUUCUCGAGUAUUUAUGAAGUGGUUAGAAUAUGUAGUGUAGCGGUGAAAUGCAUAGAUAUUACAUAGAAUACCGAUUGCGAAGGCAGAUCACUAAUAAAAUACUAACGCUGAUGGACGAAAGCGUAGGUAGCGAACAGG